GCGCGCCUUGGCCGCGGCGACGAGCCCGGCGUUGCUCUUGCCGGCGUCGUAGUUGCCGAGGUUCUGCUCCUGGAGCUCGCGC
rnacentral:tRNA from 1 species